GAUGAACGCUGGCGGCGUGCCUAAUACAUGCAAGUCGAGCGAACAGACGAGGAGCUUGCUCCUUUGACGUUAGCGGCGGACGGGUGAGUAACACGUGGGUAACCUACCUAUAAGACUGGGAUAACUUCGGGAAACCGGAGCUAAUACCGGAUAAUAUUUCGAACCGCAUGGUUCGAUAGUGAAAGAUGGCUUUGCUAUCACUUAUAGAUGGACCUGCGCCGUAUUAGCUAGUUGGUAAGGUAACGGCUUACCAAGGCAACGAUACGUAGACGACCUGAGAGGGUGAUCGGCCACACUGGAACUGAGACACGGUCCAGACUCCUACGGGAGGCAGCAGUAGGGAAUCUUCCGCAAUGGGCGAAAGCCUGACGGAGCAACGCCGCGUGAGUGAUGAAGGUCUUCGGAUCGUAAAACUCUGUUAUUAGGGAAGAACAAACGUGUAAGUAACUGUGCACGUCUUGACGGUACCUAAUCAGAAAGCCACGGCUAACUACGUG
rnacentral:rRNA from 1 species